GAGACAUUGAUGUUGCAUCACAGUUAUUGGCCAGAACAAUGGAAGUAAAAUCUACAGCAGACAUGUUGGCUACAUCCCAAGUGAGAUUCAGUGACUCACAAAGAUUAGCCAGCUCUGGAAGAAGUGUGAAGAAGAGUCACAAAGUGACACCCUCAUUUGGAUAUUUGGAAAUACUUCAGCUUCUCGUUCUUGAAAGAAGAUCUGUGGAAGAUGAUCAUUAAGACAUGUAAACAUAAGCUUGGCAGCA